CAGAACCUGAAGAGAAAGCAAAGGAAAGCAGAAGAAGGAGCAGAGAAGAGGAAGUGGUGUCGGCCAGCCAGAGCUUCGUCACCGUCUCCAUCGCCUCCAGCAGAACUGGUAAGCGACCUCUUCUUCUUGCAUUGUCUUUGUUAAUUAGCAUUUACACUGUGCAAGA